rnacentral:rRNA from 1 species
UGGGGAAUUUUGGACAAUGGGGGCAACCCUGAUCCAGCAAUGCCGCGUGUGUGAAGAAGGCCUUCGGGUUGUAAAGCACUUUUGUCCGGAAAGAAAACGUCGUGGUUAAUNCCCGUGGCGGCUGACGGUACCGGAAGAAUAAGCACCGGCUAACUACGUGCCAGCAGCCGCGGUAAUACGUAGGGUGCAAGCGUUAAUCGGAAUUACUGGGCGUAAAGCGUGCGCAGGCGGUCCGCUAAGACAGAUGUGAAAUCCCCGGGCUUAACCUGGGAACUGCAUUUGUGACUGGCGGGCUAGAGUAUGGCAGAGGGGGGUAGAAUUCCACGUGUAGCAGUGAAAUGCGUAGAGAUGUGGAGGAAUACCGAUGGCGAAGGCAGCCCCCUGGGCCAAUACUGACGCUCAUGCACGAAAGCGUGGGGAGCAAACAGGAUUAGAUACCCUGGUAGUCCACGCCCUAAACGAUGUCAACUAGUUGUCGGGUCUUCAUUGACUUGGUAACGUGCUAACGCGUGAAGUUGACCGCCU